UACGGUCGCAAGAUUAAAACUCAAAUGAAUUGACGGGGGCCCGCACAAGCGGUGGAGCAUGUGGUUUAAUUCGAUGCAACGCGAAGAACCUUACCUACUCUUGACAUCCAGAGAACUUAGCAGAGAUGCUUUGGUGCCUUCGGGAACUCUGAGACAGGUGCUGCAUGGCUGUCGUCAGCUCGUGUUGUGAAAUGUUGGGUUAAGUCCCGCAACGAGCGCAACCCUUAUCCUUGUUUGCCAGCGAGUAAUGUCGGGAACUCCAGGGAGACUGCCGGUGAUAAACCGGAGGAAGGUGGGGACGACGUCAAGUCAUCAUGGCCCUUACGAGUAGGGCUACACACGUGCUACAAUGGCGCAUACAGAGGGCGGCCAACUUGCGAAAGUGAGCGAAUCCCAAAAAGUGCGUCGUAGUCCGGAUUGGAGUCUGCAACUCGACUCCAUGAAGUCGGAAUCGCUAGUAAUCGUGAAUCAGAAUGUCACGGUGAAUACGUUCCCGGGCCUUGUACACACCGCCCGUCACACCAUGGGAGUGGGCUGCAAAAGAAGCAGGUAGUUUAACCUUCGGGAGGACGCUUGCCACUUUGUGGUUCAUGACUGGGGUGA
rnacentral:rRNA from 1 species